rnacentral:rRNA from 1 species
UUUAAUUGAAGAGUUUGAUCAUGGCUCAGAUUGAACGCUGGCGGCAGGCCUAACACAUGCAAGUCGAGCGGAAACGAAGAGGUGCUUGCACCUCUGGCGUCGAGCGGCGG